rnacentral:lncRNA from 1 species
AAGAAACCUCGAGCUUUUCUUCUCAAACAGGUUUACAGAACCAGUGUUUCCUUUCUGAGAAGCGAGACAACUGGGAGACAGGGAGGGUUGGGGGAAAGGAGAGUGACAAUUGGAAGGAGAGGGGCACAAUUUGGAGGGACAAAACGGGGAGCUGAGAAAAACAGCCUCCGAAAGCAGCCGGACCCUGCAAGGACCCUCCCACACCGCACCUCACUCCUCUCACACACACACCCCUCACCUAGAGGAGAGUCACCUCUCCAGAGCACCUGGGCCUUCAUUCCCAUCUGCAAGAGGGCAGGGCUCCCAGAUACUCUGUGAUGACGCGUGGGCCCCACCAAAAUAGAACCGAACAGAACUGGUGGAGAAAGAAUUUGUUUGAAAUUUGUGGAUCCACCAUCACUGUGAAAAACACACCCCAGAAAGCAAAUCACCACUCUAGACACUGACUUACAAUGCAGAGGAGUUUACCAUUUAGACCGGAAGGAGGUGAACGCGUGAGUCGAUGCGGAGUUCACUGUUCAGACCGGAAGGAGGUGAACCCGUGAGUCCAUGCGGAGGAGUUCACUGUUCAGACCGGAAGGAGGUGAACCCGUGAGUCGAUGCGGAGGAGUUCACUGUUCAGACCGGAAGGAGGUGAACCCGUGAGUCCAUGCGGAGGAGUUCACUGUUCAGACCGGAAGGAGGUGAACCCGUGAGUCGAUGCGGAGGCGUUCACUGUUCAGACCGGAAGGAGGUGAACCCGUGAGUCCAUGCGGAGGAGUUCACUGUUCAGACCGGAAGGAGGUGAACCCGUGAGUCGAUGCGGAGGCGUUCACUGUUUAGACCGGAAGGAGGUGAACUCGUGAGUCCAUGCGGAGGCGUUCACUGUUUAGACCGGAAGGGGUGAAUGGAGCCAUCAUAGAGGAAGCCACAGCGUUGUCUAGUUAUGCAAAGGAGGCUCCUAGAGGGGGCGAAUUGCAGCUGAGCCUUGAGACUCCCACGAGGACGCUCAGAAGAAGGCAGCCCAAUGCAAGGAAACUGCAUAUUUUAGAGCCUCGCUGGAGAGAUGCACUCUGUUUGCACCAUGGCUCUGGGCUACGAAGGCGCUUCCACCCUGCUCGUC